UCCCUGGAGGUGCUCUGUGGAUGUGGCACUGAGGGAUGUGGUCAGUGGGCAUGAUGGAGAUGGGCUGGUGGUUGGACUAGGUGAUGUGAUGGACCUUUUCCAACCUUAAUGAUUCUAUGACUCUGUAACAGCGUCCAAGCUUCCAAUAGCAAAUCCAGAUAAGAGUGUGUUGAUGCCUGCCCCUGUCCCUGACCUUGCCUGUCCUUCCCUGCAGCCUGUGACGUGCUGCUGUUCCCACGCUGUAUCCUGAGACAAGUCUUCACCACUGGUAGCAGUGCUGGUAGCACUGGAUGGAGAUGCUGCUCACAGCGAGAAACACUGCUUUCUUCUUGGCUCCAAGCUGGCCACCAGCCCUCCCAGGGCUUUAGGGAACUUAAUACAGGUACACAAAUGUUCUCUGUUGGUCAAAACUGGCCUGUGGCUUUUCAGCAUUGCAGGUAAAAUUGUGCUGAUUCUAGGUUGAGAGCCUGGGCUUAGGCCGUAGAAAGAGGAGGGACAGUCAGAUGUCUUGUUUCUGCUGCCAUUAGCGGAACUGGAGAGGUGUGAUGAGUGACUGCUGUUUGGGGUGACACCAGCCCUUCCUCAAGACAAGAGAGAUUCUUCUGUGCGUGCUCACCAGCUCUGUAUGAGCUGGGUGGCUAAAGAAUGACUAGGCCAUGUCUGUGCAAACGUACUUUUUUUUUUUUUUUUUUGUAUCUCAGACAAAGAGGGCUACCAUAACAUUUCAGCUUCCUUUGAAGGAGGGAGUGGGACCUGAAGGCAUUGGGGUUGUUGCUCACAUAUCACCAUGGCUAACCACAGCCUUAUCCUAACCUCUGCCAGGGCCUCAGGUCAGUUCAACCAGGUAUAGACCAGAAAGGCUCCAGCUCAGCUCCAGCUCUGUUAUGGGUUGUGUCUUGCAGGUCCAACAGCUGUAGAAACAUUUUAAUCACAAGUUUAAGAAGAUGUAGCUUUAGGAGUCGAUCUGUUGAGGAAGCAGGUGCCGAUUUUCCAUAGUUACUUUUAAGAGCCAAAUUGUGCUUGGCUGCUGAUUUUUAGUUUUAAGGCAAUAUUGAGAAUUUAAAAACCCUUCUUUUUUUUUUUCUUUCUUUCUUUUUUUUUUUUAAUUCGAUCCAGCUGGAGCUUGUACUUAACUUUAACUUUUUUUUCUUUUAUUAUUUAAAAUCCUUAAUUAUCUGGGACAAAAUUGGUAAGGAAAUCUGCAGAAUCUAGGGAUUCCACAGAGCUCUCUCUAUAAACACUCAGGCUAUUCACUGGUGCCAAAUAGACAUGUGCCAACUCUGAAACACCCACCCACUCUCUCCUUCUGCCGCAGCAAACUAAUAAGCACAUUGAUUACAUUCAUUUAAAGAAAAGCACUGCUCUUUUAAUCUUUACAUUCCCUAUACUUUAGAUUUCUGAUUACGAGAGAUAUCCUGUUUAUCACACUUUGCAUGGUGAAAAAGCUACUUGACACACCUCAACGCACUAGAUAUUUUAAAAGAAUAUUUUAGAGGAUACCAGUGAGUGGUAGUAGGAGAUAAUUAUCAUUUCCUGCAAGCUGUUGUUGUGCUAUUCGCAAGAUGAACGAGAGGUCUCUUAAAUGUGAUUUUUGUAAAGGUCCCUCGAAUGCCUUCAAUUCCCCCAAACAAAAAUGUUCACAUGCAGUUUCUCUCUUACUUUCCUCUUUCCUUCCCACCCUUUCUACUCCAAAAUCUAGAAGAACUUUGUUAUAGUAAUACAGAUACAUAUAGGUAUAUGUAAAUACGUAAAUGAAAAUAAAAAAUAGGUACCCUAUGUGUGUAUCAUACAUAGAAUCACAGCAUGGUUUGGGUUGGAAGGUCCUCACAGCCCACCUAGCCCCAACCCCUGCUGUGGGCAGGGCUGCCCCCACCAGCUCAGGCUGCCCAGGGCCCCAUCCAACCUGGCCUUGAGCGCCUCCAGGGAUGGGGCACCCCAGCUUCUCUGGGCAAAGUUUAAGCCAAUCUCAGCUCUUCAAAGCAGUGGUUUUCAACUUUUUUUGAUUCAAAAUCUGGCAACAAUUGACCCAAGUUAGGUGUAAGCACCUUGACAAAUUUAACGUGCAUGUUUAUGCAUGUAUCUAUGCCCAUGGACAGACUCGCUUAUCCUGAGCGGAGCGCUGUGGAAAGGCCCCCCUGCUCCAUCAGCCGUUCAUCUGUCUGCAAUUGAGAUCUCCCUGGAGAAGGAUCACAGGAGAUGACCCUUGACCUCUGGAAAUAUGUGCUGACCACAACUACACAGCCUGGGCUCCUCUUUGCUUCUGAAGGGAAAUUCAGCAGUGCUUCCUCAGCCUGGCUGUCCUGGUUUCUCCGAGGAACUUCAGACAGGAGCCUGGAAGGGCUGGACAGAGAGUCCCGAUGGAAAUGCGCCGAAUAGAGUGGACCAGGGAAAAAGUAAAAAACUGUUGAUUUAAUAAAAGUAGAUAAAGAAGGGCACUUCUUUAAGGUCUGAGUGGUCUUCAUGGAGUGAACUUCAGUGUCUGGGAUUCUGAGCUCUCCACGCUGAGUGUUGUUGUCCAUGGGAUGUAGAGACUCACACAUCUGUAAGAGCAGUUGCCACAACCCAAAUAACUUGUGUUGUACGAGUUCCUAAAACCAGCUCUGUUCAUUACCCACCUGGAGCGGAUCCUUCAGGGUUCAAACUUGAGGACCAAAGUCCUGUCUUCACACCAUGCAGUUGUACCUCUACGGCUGAAGUUGGGUUGGUGUUCCCACAGCUUCUCAUUCUUCAGGUUAUUUCCUGUCUGUAUUUCUGGGCCUAUCUGUGUGUCCUCAAUUAUGGACUCAGUUUGGUAGUUUCCUUUAAUACAACUGUUUAUAACUGGCCAGAAACUUGAAUACUUACAGAAAUGUAUCUUAUUUCCCUUAGCUCUGUUGACCUAUUAAUGACUAAAAUAGAUUGAAUUUUUCAGUUAAAUUCAGCUAUAGAUAGAUACCAGAGUAAACCUAUUUCCUUCUCUUUUUUUUUUUAAUCUAUAUCAUUAUGCUAUAUAUGUGCAUUCUCAAUAGCUAUUCUGGUAGACUUUUAAAUGUGGCAUUUACAAAGAAUUCUUGCUAAUAUUUUGACUGCUAAUCAUUUCCCCCCCCCUCAGAAUAGCUUUUCUAAUAGAACUAUUCAGAAAAAGCACUAUCAUCAUAUCACAAUGUACUGUGACAAGGACUGUUCAGCUUCACAUUUUGGUGUUUAAUGUAUUCUCAGCUCUUCACUGUGGAUGGCAAGGGUGACUUGAGUAGCUGAAGGAAAAAAGAUUCGGGACAAAUUGUAGCAAAUCCUCUCUUGCUGUUUUCCAUCUGUUUUUAAGAUAAUUGUGUUUCUGUCCAGCAUCUUCCAGCUGAAGUCUCCUAUGACUGACCUUGGCGAAAUUUCCAUAGACUUUCCAAGAUUUAGUAGAGAUAAUCUCUGUCCUUGGAAAGAAUGGUGCAACCAGCUCACAGAGAAACCAAAAAUAUGCAGAAAUCAUGGCUCACAGUACAAGAUUUUUUAAAAUUAGUUUUAUUUGUUUCUUUAUAUUUUGUGUAAAGCAUAGUUUGUUUCCAGAAACUUAGUUGUGGGUUUAGAUCUAUGCCACAAAUAAAGAACUAAGGAAUACCCUACAUUUUCAAGAGCUGAUGAGGAGCCCUCUAAAGGACUCAAUAGAAACUGAAAAGCAUUGAAUGAAAAGGCAUUUUUCCGAGUCUAAAGGACUUAAUAUAGUUAAGAAAAUAACUGUAUGCUGUAGGACCUUGUUCCUCUUGCUACACAUUUUUCUUGCUAUUCCUGUUGAGACAUCUGACUGCAGUGAUCCUUACAGAGAGGAUUCCCAGAAGGGCUGAAACCUUUCAAAUCUUAUUGCUUAUGCAUUUUCUUGUCUUGACAGAACAAUAUGAAACAGUUGACCUUGCUCAGAGCAAUAUCAUUAAAGCUAAACAAGAUGGCACUUGUACUAGGUGUUGGUCAGGAGCUGUCUGAGGCGCUUUCUGAAAUAUUGUGGAGCAGUAAGAAAAAGGCAAAUGAAAAAAAUGUGAUUCCAGCCUAAUAAUGCUUCUUGUUUUAAAGUGAAUUUGUGGGUCUGUUAAUGUGCCUGUUAAAAAGGAAGAAAUAAAAUGUUGUACAUCUCA